AACGAACGCUGGCGGCAUGCCUAACACAUGCAAGUCGAACGAGACCUUCGGGUCUAGUGGCGCACGGGUGCGUAACGCGUGGGAACCUGCCCUUAGGUUCGGAAUAACUCCCCGAAAGGGGUGCUAAUACCGGAUAAUGUCUUCGGACCAAAGAUUUAUUGCCUUUGGUUGGGCCCGCGUUGGAUUAGCUAGUUGGUAGGGUAAAAGCCUACCAAGGCGACGAUCCAUAGCUGGUCUGAGAGGAUGAUCAGCCACACUGGGACUGAGACACGGCCCAGACUCCUACGGGAGGCAGCAGUGGGGAAUAGUGGACAAUGGGCGAAAGCCUGAUCCAGCAAGGCCGCGUGAGUGAUGAAGGCCUUAGGGUUGUAAAGCUCUUUUACCCGGGAUGAUAAUGACAGUACCGGUAGAAUAAGCUCCGGCUAACUCCGU
rnacentral:rRNA from 1 species